GUCUACGGCCAUACCACCCUGAAUACACCUGAUCUCGUCUAAUCUCGAAAGCUAAGCAGGGUCAGGCCUAGUUAGUACUUGGAUGGGAGACUGCCUGGAAUACCAGGUGCCAUAGGCA
rnacentral:rRNA from 1 species